AAGUCGUAACAAGGUUUCCGUAGGUGAACCUGCGGAAGGAUCAUUAAAAUGGAGGACGGGCCACCGCCCGUCAACCGCUUUACAGCGCCUUCUCUGGGGGCCCCCCGGGGCUCCCCGAAGAGGACACCAAAUGUGAACCAGCCUGUUGCUUUGGCAGCGCCGGCGCGACUCCCUCCGCGGAGCCCGCCGUUGUCAGUCUGUCAUUAGUCCAGCAUUCAAACUCUUGUAUUCAAACUGAAGUCUGAAAUCUAUAAAUGCAAACGCAUAAAA
rnacentral:misc_RNA from 1 species